rnacentral:rRNA from 1 species
UACGAAGGGUGCGAGCGUUACUCGGAAUUACUGGGCGUAAAGCGUGCGUAGGUGGUUCGUUAAGUCUGAUGUGAAAGCCCCGGGCUCAACCUGGGAACCGCGCUUGAGACUGGCAUGCUCGAGUUCGGGAGAGGAUGGUGGAAUUCCCAGUGUAGAGGUGAAAUUCGUAGAUAUUGGGAAGAACACCGAUGGCGAAGGCAGCCAUCUGGACCGACACUGACGCUGAGGCGCGAAAGCGUGGGGAGCAAACAGG